AUUGAACGCUGGCGGCAGGCCUAACACAUGCAAGUCGAGCGGAUGAAGGGUGCUUGCUCCUGGAUUCAGCGGCGGACGGGUGAGUAAUGCCUAGGAAUCUGCCUGGUAGUGGGGGAUAACGUCCGGAAACGGGCGCUAAUACCGCAUACGUCCUGAGGGAGAAAGUGGGGGAUCUUCGGACCUCACGCUAUCAGAUGAGCCUAGGUCGGAUCAGCUAGUUGGUGGGGUAAAGGCCUACCAAGGCGACGAUCCGUAACUGGCCUGAGAGGAUGAUCAGUCACACUGGAACUGAGACACGGUCCAGACUACUGCGGGAGGCAGCAGUCGGGAAUAUUGGGCAAUGGGGGAGAGCCUGAUCCAGCCAUGCCGCGUGUGUGAAGAAGGUCUUCGGAUUGUAAAGCACUUUAAGUUGGGGGGAAGGGCAGUAAGUUGAUACCUUGCUGUUUUGACGUUACCGACAGAAUAAGCACCGGCUAACUUCGUG
rnacentral:rRNA from 1 species